GAAAGAGGAAAAAAACACAGCACUGCUGAAGUCUCUCGAUAACACACAAUGUUGUGGCAUAUCUGAGACUGGCAUGGAUCUGUUCACUGAAUAUCCUUCAUUAUGGGAACAUGAAAAGGGUCUUCCGGAUGAACUAUGUCCAGUUAAUGGGGUCAUCCAGUCAGCCUGAUUGAUGAGCGACCUUGUGGGCGGAGUUAACGCACCCUGCAACCCUGCUGAGCCCCACCCCGUAUCCAGUCCUAUGCCUACUAGAGGUAGCGCACUGUAACAGCAGCAUGCUCUCAAGGGCGGUGCCGUCAUGUCACUGAAUCUCCACUAGAUGGCGCCUUGGGGCACGUUACAGUUCAGUGACGCAAGUAAAAAAAAACGCAGCCAAAAAAACCCAGCACAUUUUAUAACUAAGUCUUUAAUUUUAACAAGAAAGUGUUAUUUAAAAUAACAUCAAAUACGUUUAAAUUGGGAUUUUAGGUUUGUUAUUCCCGUUAAAAGGAAAAAACUGAAAUGCAAUGAUUUGUCAAUUUCAUAGUAAGAACUAUUUUAUAGUACUAAUGGAUACUAUUAUGCUAUUUAAUUUACUCUAUUGCUCUUUAUUUGAAAUAAACUGCGUCUUAAGCGCCAAGCAAAAUAAGGUGAAUUAUACUUAAUGCCAAAAUAUGCUAUUACAUCAUUUGUCCAGCAGAUGGCCUGUGUGUUCCCCAUACUUAUGUUCAGCGCUCAUAUACUGGAGCCUGGAAAAAAAGACGGACUUGCAACGCCCAAACUAAAGUCUGGAUAAAUCUAACUGCAGUGCUUUAAGCAAAUUCUAUUUAAUGCAGUGUUUUCUCAGCUAUGUUUUACGGUCAGGUGACUUGUCUUCAUUUGCAAAUUCAAAAGAUGAAAAUAUCCAAGGUAAAACCACGAAGCAUCCUUUAAACGCACGCAGAAUCCUUAAUUUUCUUUAUUUCUUUUUUGAUAGCCAAUGUGGAUAGCUGUCCUUCAGGUCAACUCCGAGUACAGUGGCCACAAGCAGGCCAACGAAUCCUCAGUCAUCAAAGGAAUAAAUGAGGCUUAAGGGUCCUUGGGAAAACAGACCAAGAAAAAAAACAGAAGAAGCACAUUAAAACUUACAUUGGCAUGACGCUAGGUACGAUGUCACUGCAAGCAGCAACAGAAUCCGGGUAUCCACAAAGCUGAGCAUGUCUAGUCCGACAUGCAGACUCCUUGUGCCUCGGUGCCUGGUUUUUUCACUUCUUCAAGCAGGCA